rnacentral:rRNA from 1 species
ACACAUGCAAGUCGAGGGGAAACGACAUCGAAAGCUUGCUUUUGAUGGGCGUCGACCGGCGCACGGGUGAGUAACGCGUAUCCAACCUGCCCACCACUUGGGGAUAACCUUGCGAAAGUAAGACUAAUACCCAAUGAUAUCUCUAGAAGACAUCUGAAAGAGAUUAAAGAUUUAUCGGUGAUGGAUGGGGAUGCGUCUGAUUAGCUUGUUGGCGGGGUAACGGCCCACCAAGGCGACGAUCAGUAGGGGUUCUGAGAGGAAGGUCCCCCACAUUGGAACUGAGACACGGUCCAAACUCCUACGGGAGGCAGCAGUGAGGAAUAUUGGUCAAUGGACGAGAGUCUGAACCAGCCAAGUAGCGUGCAGGAUGACGGCCCUAUGGGUUGUAAACUGCUUUUAUAAGGGAAUAAAGUGAGUCUCGUGAGACUUUUUGCAUGUACCUUAUGAAUAUGGACCGGCUAAUUCCGUGCCAGCAGCCGCGGUAAUACGGAAGGUCCGGGCGUUAUCCGGAUUUAUUGGGUUUAAAGGGAGCGUAGGCCGGAGAUUAAGCGUGUUGUGAAAUGUAGAUGCUCAACAUCUGCACUGCAGCGCGAACUGGUUUCCUUGAGUACGCACAAAGUGGGCGGAAUUCGUGGUGUAGCGGUGAAAUGCUUAGAUAUCACGAAGAACUCCGAUUGCGAAGGCAGCUCACUGGAGCGCAACUGACGCUGAAGCUCGAAAGUGCGGGUAUCGAACAGGAUUAGAUACCCUGGUAGUCCGCACGGUAAACGAUGGAUGCCCGCUGUUGGUCUGAAUAGGUCAGCGGCCAAGCGAAAGCAUUAAGCAUCCCACCUGGGGAGUACGCCGGCAACGGUGAAACUCAAAGGAAUUGACGGGGGCCCGCACAAGCGGAGGAACAUGUGG